rnacentral:rRNA from 1 species
AUUGAACGCUGGCGGCAGGCCUAACACAUGCAAGUCGAACGAGUGGCGGACGGGUGAGUAAUUUCUGGGCAACUGCCCGAUGGAGGGGGAUAACUACUGGAAACGGUAGCUAAUACCGCAUACUAUCGGAUGUGCCCACAUGGGAUUAGCUAGUAGGUGGGGUAACGGCUCACCUAGGCGACGAUCCCUAGCUGGUCUGAGAGGAUGACCAGCCACACUGGGACUGAGACACGGUCCAGACUCCUACGGGAGGCAGCAGUGGGGAAUAUUGCACAAUGGGCGCAAGCCUGAUGCAGCCAUGCCGCGUGUAUGAAGAAGGCCUUCGGGUUGUAAAGUACUUUCGGCAGGGAGGCGUUACCUGCAGAAGAAGCACCGGCUAACUCCGUGCCAGCAGCCGCGGUAAUAC